rnacentral:rRNA from 1 species
AAUAUUGCGCAAUGGGGGGAACCCUGACGCAGCGACGCCGCGUGAGCGACGAAGGCCUUCGGGUCGUAAAGCUCUGUCAUCGGGGAAGAAAACUUAUUGCUUAAUAGGCAAUAAGCUGACGGUACCCGAAGAGGAAGCCACGGCUAACUACGUGCCAGCAGCCGCGGUAAUACGUAGGUGGCAAGCGUUGUCCGGAAUUACUGGGCGUAAAGGGCGUGUAGGCGGUUAAGCAAGUCAGAAGUGAAAAGCUCAGGCUCAACCUGAGCCUUGCUUCUGAAACUGUUUAACUUGAGGGCAGGAGAGGUAAGUGGAAUUCCUAGUGUAGCGGUGAAAUGCGUAGAUAUUAGGAGGAACACCAGUGGCGAAGGCGACUUACUGGCCUGGCCCUGACGCUGAGGCGCGAAAGCGUGGGUAGCAAAC